rnacentral:rRNA from 1 species
UACGGAGGGUGCAAGCGUUAUCCGGAUUUAUUGGGUUUAAAGGGUGCGUAGGCGGCUUAUUAAGUCAGGGGUGAAAGACGGUGGCUCAACCAUCGCAGUGCCUUUGAUACUGAUGAGCUUGAAUACACUUGAGGUAGGCGGAAUGUGACAAGUAGCGGUGAAAUGCAUAGAUAUGUCACAGAACACCAAUUGCGAAGGCAGCUUACUAAGGUGCAAUUGACGCUGAGGCACGAAAGCGUGGGGAUCAAACAGG